CAUUACAAGAAGCCGAAAGGCUACUUAAAACCAUCGCGAACUUAUCCAAGUUGCUUCGGCGGCGCGGCUCCCCUCACGGGGGACCGCAGCCCCCGCCUCUCACGAGGCAAGGGGCAGCCGCCGGAGGUACGAAACUCUGUAUUAUAGUGGUAUCUCUGAGUAUAAAACAAAUAAGUUAAAACUUUCAACAACGGAUCUCUUGGUUCUGGCAUCGAUGAAGAACGCAGCGAAAUGCGAUAAGUAAUGUGAAUUGCAGAAUUCAGUGAAUCAUCGAAUCUUUGAACGCACAUUGCGCCCGCUAGUACUCUAGCGGGCAUGCCUGUUCGAGCGUCAUUUCAACCCUCAAGCUCUGCUUGGUGUUGGGGCUCUACGUCUGACGUAGGCCCUGAAAGGAAGUGGCGGGCUCGCUACAACUCCGAGCGUAGUAAUUCAUUAUCUCGCUAGGGAAGUGUGGCGUUCUCCAGCCGUUAAAGACCCCAUCUUUAACCAAGGUUGACCUCGGAUCAGGUAGGAAUACCCGCUGAACUUAA
rnacentral:rRNA from 1 species